UACAGAGGUCUCAAGCGUUGUUCGGAUUCAUUGGGCGUAAAGGGUGUGUAGGUGGCGCCGUAAGUCGGGUGUGAAAUUUCGGAGCUUAACUCCGAAACUGCAUUCGAUACUGCGGUGCUUGAGGACUGGAGAGGAGACUGGAAUUCAUGGUGUAGCAGUGAAAUGCGUAGAGAUCAUGAGGAAGACCAGUGGCGAAGGCGGGUCUCUGGACAGUUCCUGACGCUGAGGCACGAAGGUCAGGGGGAGCAAACGGG
rnacentral:rRNA from 1 species